UUUUUUGCAGAAGGGCCAAUAUUUGGUGCACCUAGGAUUAUAAAUGUAUUUUUUACAGAGUUUUUAUUACACUAGAGACUUGCACCAUUCGGACACAAGACAUUCAUACAGGUCCCCAGUGGAAA